rnacentral:rRNA from 1 species
AGAGUUUGAUCAUGGCUCAGGACGAACGCUGGCGGCGUGGAUUAGGCAUGCAAGUCGAACGGUAGUAUCCUUUCGGGGAUAUGAGAGUGGCGAACGGGUGAGUAACACGUAGGUAAUCUACCCUCAAAUCGGGGACAACCCAGGGAAACUUGGGCUAAUACCGGAUGAGUGCAGCACCUUGAUUUUCCGGUGGGCGGUGAAUGGUUAAAUCUAUUUACCGGACAUUGGGAAAUGAAGGUGCUGUAUAAAAGAUGGCGUAAGCUGUCGUUUGAGGAUGAGCCUGCGCUCUAUUAGUUAGUUGGUGGGGUAAUGGCCUACCAAGGCGAUGAUAGAUAGGCGGCCUUAACGGGUGGCCGCCCACACUGGGAUUGAGAUACGGCCCAGACUCCUACGGGAGGCAGCAGUCGAGAAUAGUCUACAAUGGACGAAAGUCUGAUAGUGCGACGCCGCGUGAACGAAGAAUCCCUUCGGGGUGUAAAGUUCUUUUAUAUGUGAGCAAUGCUUUUUAUGUGAAUAGCAUGAGAAGAGAGAUAUUAGCAUAUGAAUAAGCAACGGCUAACUCCGUGCCAGCAGCCGCGGUAACACGGGGGUUGCAAGCGUUGUCCGGAAUUACUAGGCGUAAAGGGCAGGUAGGCGGAUCCAUAAGUUUGAUGUUAAAGGCAGCGGCUCACCCGCUGUAGGGCAUUAGAUACUGUGGAUCUGGAAUACGGUUGGGGAAGACAGAAUUCCUGGUGUAGCGGUGGAAUGCGCAGAGAUCAGGAGGAAUACCAAAGGCGAAGGCAGUCUUCUAAGCCGUUAUUGACGCUAAACUGCGAAGGUGUGGGUAUCAAACAGGAUUAGAUACCCUGGUAGUCCACACAGUAAACGAUAAUCACUAGGUGUCGGGUUCGAAGAGGAUUCGGUGCCGUAGCUAACGCGAUAAGUGAUUCGCCUGGGGAGUACGAUCGCAAGGUUGAAACUCAAAUGAAUUGACGG